GAUGAACGCUGGCGGCGUGCCUAAUACAUGCAAGUCGAGCGAACGGACGAGAAGCUUGCUUUUCUGAUGUUAGCGGCGGACGGGUGAGUAACACGUGGAUAACCUACCUAUAAGACUGGGAUAACUUCGGGAAACCGGAGCUAAUACCGGAUAAUAUUUUGAACCGCAUGGUUCAAAAGUGAAAGACGGUCUUGCUGUCACUUAUAGAUGGAUCCGCGCUGCAUUAGCUAGUUGGUAAGGUAACGGCUUACCAAGGCAACGAUGCAUAGCCGACCUGAGAGGGUGAUCGGCCACACUGGAACUGAGACACGGUCCAGACUCCUACGGGAGGCAGCAGUAGGGAAUCUUCCGCAAUGGGCGAAAGCCUGACGGAGCAACGCCGCGUGAGUGAUGAAGGUCUUCGGAUCGUAAAACUCUGUUAUUAGGGAAGAACAUAUGUGUAAGUAACUGUGCACAUCUUGACGGUACCUAAUCAGAAAGCCACGGCUAACUACGUGCCAGCAGCCGCGGUAAUACGUAGGUGGCAAGCGUUAUCCGGAAUUAUUGGGCGUAAAGCGCGCGUAGGCGGUUUUUUAAGUCUGAUGUGAAAGCCCACGGCUCAACCGUGGAGGGUCAUUGGAAACUGGAAAACUUGGGUGCAGAAGAGGAAAGUGGAAUUCCAUGUGUAGCGGUGAAAUGCGCAGAGAUGUGGAGGAACACCAGUGGCGAAGGCGACUUUCUGGUCUGUAACUGACGCUGAUGUGCGAAAGCGUGGGGAUCAAACAGGAUUAGAUACCCUGGUAGUCCACGCCGUAAACGAUGAGUGCUAAGUGUUAGGGGGUUUCCGCCCCUUAGUGCUGCAGCUAACGCAUUAAGCACUCCGCCUGGGGAGUACGACCGCAAGGUUGAAACUCAAAGGAAUUGACGGGGGCCCGCACAAGCGGUGGAGCAUGUGGUUUAAUUCGAAGCAACGCGAAGAACCUUACCAAAUCUUGACAUCCUUUGACAACUCUAGAGAUAGAGCCUUCCCCUUCGGGGGACAAAGUGACAGGUGGUGCAUGGUUGUCGUCAGCUCGUGUCGUGAGAUGUUGGGUUAAGUCCCGCAACGAGCGCAACCCUUAAGCUUAGUUGCCAUCAUUAAGUUGGGCACUCUAAGUUGACUGCCGGUGACAAACCGGGGGAAGGUGGGGAUGACGUCAAAUCAUCAUGCCCCUUAUGAUUUGGGCUACACACGUGCUACAAUGGACAAUACAAAGGGCAGCGAAACCGCGAGGUCAAGCAAAUCCCAUAAAGUUGUUCUCAGUUCGGAUUGUAGUCUGCAACUCGACUACAUGAAGCUGGAAUCGCUAGUAAUCGUAGAUCAGCAUGCUACGGUGAAUACGUUCCCGGGUCU
rnacentral:rRNA from 1 species